AGUGAACGCUGGCGGUAGGCCUGACACAUGCAAGUCGAACGGCAGCACAGUAAGAGCUUGCUCUUACGGGUGGCGAGUGGCGGACGGGUGAGGAAUACAUCGGAAUCUACUUUUUCGUGGGGGAUAACGUAGGGAAACUUACGCUAAUAGCGCAUACGACCUACGGGUGAAAGCAGGGGAUCUUCGGACCUUGCGCGACUGAAUGAGCCGAUGUCGGAUUAGCUAGUUGGCGGGGUAAAGGCACACCAAGGCGACGAUCCGUAGCUGGUCUGAGAGGAUGAUCAGCCACACUGGAACUGAGACACGGUCCAGACUCCUACGGGAGGCAGCAGUGGGGAAUAUUGGACAAUGGGCGCAAGCCUGAUCCAGCCAUGCCGCGUGGGUGAAGAAGGCCUUCGGGUUGUAAAGCCCUUUUGUUGGGAAAGAAAAGCAGCAGGUUAAUACCCCGCUGUUCUGACGGUACCCAAAGAAUAAGCACCGGCUAACUUCGUG
rnacentral:rRNA from 1 species